rnacentral:rRNA from 1 species
AUACGUAGGUGACAAGCGUUAUCCGGAUUUACUGGGCGUAAAGGGCGUGUAGGCGGUCUUGCAAGUCAGAAGUGAAAUUCCUGAGCUCAACUCGGGCGCUGCUUCUGAAACUGCAGGACUUGAGUGCUGGAGGGGAUAGCGGAAUUCCUAGUGGAGCGGUAAAAUGCGCAGAUAUUAGGAAGAACACCGGUGGCGAAGGCGGCUAUCUGGACAGUAACUGACGCUGAGGCGCGAAAGCGUGGGGAGCAAACAGGAUUAGAUACCCUGGUAGUCCACGCCGUAAACGCUGAAUACUAGGUGUAGGGGGUAUCGACUCCCUCUGUGCCGCAGUUAACACAAUAAGUAUUCCGCCUGGGGAGUACGGCCGCAAGGUUGAAACUCAAAUGAAUUGACGGGG